ensembl:lncRNA FRG1-DT FRG1 divergent transcript
GCCCUCGCUGGCCUGCGGCGGCGCGGCUGGAAGCGCGGGCCACUCGUGCGUGGGUCACUCAGGACUGCGCCUCGCGCGACUGUGUGUGCAGGAAACAAGCAGGAAAUACCCUAAAAGAGAAUGAAGCGCCAUGUUGAGGGUCGCGGACGUCGCGAGUGCUGUGGGAAUGUGGGCUGAGGUGGAGAGUUAUGGUAGCCCGUGUUACAGGCUCAGGGGUCUGAAAGAAGCCUAAUCGUGGAGGCGGCAUCUGAGGAGGGUCUUGAAGGCUGGGCAGGCAUUUGCCCGACAGAGAUGGAGGAAGCUAGUCCUGUCUGAUGGAGGAAACAGGGCGGAGGCGUGGAGGGAGCCGUGCAGCGCUGGUGUGAGGAGCAGCGAGCAGGCCAGGCCUGUAAAGCAGAGUGAGGGAACCAGGAUAGAGAAGGCAAGUCGGGGUCCUGUGGUCGCUGAAGAAUUUGAAUGAAAUCAGUAAACAGGUGAGAGGGAUCCAUCGCAAGAGCAUGGGAUGAAAGGAGGAGUAGUCCACGGUGAUUCCUCUGCAGCGGUGGGUGUUAUUAAUCGCGUAUGUGACACCAAAACCACCCCACUCAAGCUGUGGCUCUUUCCCUAAAGUAGAAAACCGAGACCAGUUGGGUUCCAAGCAUCCACGAAGAUCUUAUUAAAUUCGUGAUCCCUGGUGGCACCAUGGAGUCAGGAUUGGCUCAUCUCAAACCUGACUCAGAAACAAAACCGUCACAAUGUGCAGAGAUGAGCGUCCUUACCGCUAUCAACGUAUUUUCUGGUGUUUUCACAGUGCUGCGCUUCCUAAUCCCCAUUCCAUGGCAAUCCACAUGCCAUGAUGCCCGGAGUCAUUAACAAAGGAGACACACAGGGGCUCCUCACGUUGGCUUUCCAGGGUUUUGAUGAAAAUCUGUUUCCUCGUCUCAUACAAUGUGGCUGUACAGGAAGCAUGGUGAUGGCAUCUGCAUGGCGCCUGUGGAGGCCCCAGGGAGCUUUUACUCAUGAUGGAAGGCACAGAGGGAGUAGGCACAUCACAUGGUCCGAGGAGGAGCAAGAGAAAAUGGGAGUGGGGCAUGCCUCGGGCGGUUCAGCUCUGUUGACACUCAUGGUGCUGCUUGUGGGCUGAUGCAGGAGUCUACUGUGAAGGGACUCAGUAUGGUGGAAAAAAAUAUUCAACUUCUGCUCACUUUAUUCAGUGUAAGAACUGUAAGGAGGACUUUCUGCAUAUAAUACCAUUAUGGCCUGGGGGAGGAGUAUCACAGUCACAGAGUACUGGUUCCCUUACUGUCCAAGCAUGGUUCUACUCUUUGCAGUCCAAAGGGGCUUCAUAGACUGACUCAUGUAUUCAGGGUUCGUUAGCUCUUGUAAAGGUAAUUUUAUAUGUGGAUAGUUGUUCAUAUAGAUGUGUCCGUAGGGGUAAGAUUACUGGAGAGAUCGACUCCACUACCUUGCUCUGCCCAAAUCCUUCCCCUUUCCAACAAGAGUUUGCCACCUCCUAGUUUUCUUUUUUCUUAACCAAACUAAGUUUAGCCUUUUAAUCCUUAACUCUCCUCCACUUCUAAUGCCAUUGCUUCUUUGUAUGCUUAUUGUAUUUUCCAUGCUAUAUGACUUUCAGCUGGUUAUUUACAGUAUGUAAGUUUUAAUAUCCUGUAAAAGGGGGAUAAUAAUAGCAUCCAUUUGAUAGGGAUGUUAAAGAUAUUAAAUGACACUGUCCAUGUUAAAUAACUUUUUAAGAUAUAUUGAGAUGUUUCUGUACUUCCUUGUUCUGGCCUUCUUGUUGAACCAGAGAAAUCUAUUGCCAUGAAAAGCAAUAAAAUUGUGAUAGUAGAAAU